CCGGUAAAUAAUUUUUGUAGCGUAAAAGUUAAAUAAAUUCAUACAUAUUGUAAUACAGAUAACCAAAGUAUAAAAUUUAAUUUACAGUGACACGUGGGCUCACAAACGACCAAAAGUAUCAAAAGCAGUAAACCUAUAGUUUUUGAGGAUGCAAGUUCAACUGUAGCCCUCAACAAAGUGAGCUAUCUACCGACUAUCUUGAGCCUGAAAUGGGUGGAAAGGAGGGUGGUGAGAUUAUAUAAUCCCAGUAAGUAAACAAAUAUCAUCUAAAAUAUCUAAAAUUGAGUAAAUAGAGAUAGAUAAAAUAGUUUAACAUACUGUAAUUCAUCAUGUUUCAACUCAUUUCAACCAAAUAAAAUCAAUUCAUAUAAAUCGAGUAAACAACAUGGCUUAUGAAUUUCUUAAAAGCUUUGGCUCGUGCCAAUAUCAUUCUUAUACUUAGUUAUCAGGGAUACCUUGGUCGGAGGUUAUCCCAACCGAGUCCGCCAAGGCUAUUAAAAAGUUAUGUACACAUAAAUCAUGUUUUUAUUUUGAAAAUAUAGCCGUUCCUUGACGUUGGCUGAGUUCACCCUCACGUGGUGGUUUGGCGUGAAGUGAACUCUAAAGUGUUAACCUCAGGAGUUAUCCAUCCGCGCCUCUCAUGCUGAGGUAUGAAUAUAAUAGGGUUACCGUGCCCUCUUUAAUAAGCUGGUCCACGAAACCCCGUCUACUGCAGCGACCAAUUUAUAACCCACCAUACAAUAAAAAUUCAACAGCAUGACAUGAUAAUUUUAUCAUUAUCCAGCCUAUCAAGGCAAACAACAGUUUAUACAUUUUCAACACAAAUACCAAUUCAGCCAUUCAUGCCAAUAUUGCCAUAAGCCAAUCAAUUAGAACCAUAAAUUCACAACACAUCAAAUAGUCUCCAAUUACUCUAUUUUCCAAAACCAUCAUUCAAUUUCUAGACAAUUUUAUAAAAUCAUUUCAUUAAAUCACAUUUUACUUUUAAAACAUAAAGAUUUACCAUUUAUCUCAUUUUCUAUAAAAUCACAAAAUCGGAUAAAAAUCACUUUAGAUAAUUAAGAUGAUAAUAAGGUUACUCACUAUUUCAAGAGUCGAAUUUCUAGUACUUCGAUUCUUGAUCCUCGGAUACUAUCUCUUUACUUUUGCCAGAAUGCUCACCACAUAGACAUAAUGCACAAUAAGCCAUUUACUACAUUGGUGCUAAUUUGUUAUAAACCAAUUCAAGCUCUAUACUAAUGCAUGAAAUGAGAUGUGAAAUACUCGGAUAACAAUCUAAAUAUAGUGUUCAAUAUAAAUUCAAUUAUGUACCUAAAUAAAACGGUAUUGGCCUAAUUCGAUCUAUCAUUCGAUUAAUUGGCCAAUAUGUCCAAUUCAACUCCAAAUAAUUCCAUUUUUCUCCCAAUACUCCAAAUCAUCAAACACAAAUUAAAUAACUUGAAAUAUGAAAAAAUCAUCUUCACAUUUUCUCUUGGGAAUUUCGGCCAUGGUGGGUGCAUCAAUACUAUGAUUUUUCAAGCUUGAUUCUCACACCAUAAAUCACUAAUUUCUAACCAAAUCACUCGAAAUAAAAUCAAAAUCAUCAUCAAUAUUCUACAUGGAGAAUUCGGUCAAUGAUGGGUGAUGGGAGAACAUUAAUUUUUCUUGCUUGAUUUUCAUGUUACACAUCACUAACUAACUAAAAACACUAAAAUACAUUGAAAUCUAACCAAAUCAAGCAUCAAAACCUCCCUCUAAGUGUUCAGCCAGUAAGAUACCCAUCAUGAAAUCAUGUGAUUUAACCAUGGAAAAUGCAAAAGAAUGUAUGGAAAAGGUAGAUCACAAGUCAAAAUCAAGAAAUUUUACCUUUGAUUGCUUGAUUGCUUGAUUACUUGAAAUUCACCAAUUUUCUCUUGAAUUUUCACCCUAGGGUUCUUGUUCUUUCUUUUCUUCCUUUGUUCUUGCUUUGGCCGGCCAUAUGAA
rnacentral:lncRNA from 1 species